rnacentral:rRNA from 1 species
UAGGGAAUCUUCCGCAAUGGGCGAAAGCCUGACGGAGCAACGCCGCGUGAGUGAUGAAGGUCUUCGGAUCGUAAAACUCUGUUAUUAGGGAAGAACAAAUGUGUAAGUAACUAUGCACGUCUUGACGGUACCUAAUCAGAAAGCCACGGCUAACUACGUGCCAGCAGCCGCGGUAAUACGUAGGUGGCAAGCGUUAUCAGGAAUUAUUGGGCGUAUAGAGCGCGUAGACGGUUUUUUAAGUCUGAUGUGAAAGCCCACGGCUCAACCGUGGCGGGUCAUUUGAAACUGGAAAACUUGAGUGUAGAAGAGGAAAGUGGAAUUCCAUGUGUCGCGGUGAAAUGCGCAGAGAUAUGGAGGAACACCAGUUGCGAAGGCGACUUUCUGGUCUUUAACUGACGCUGAUGUGCGAAAGCGUGUCGAUCAAACAGG